UACGGGGGGGAGCAAGCGUUGUUCGGAUUUACUGGGCGUAAAGGGCGCGUAGGCGGCCAGCACAAGUCAGUUGUGAAAUCUCCGAGCUUAACUCGGAAAGGUCAACUGAUACUGUGCGGCUAGAGUGCGGAAGGGGCAACUGGAAUUCUUGGUGUAGCGGUGAAAUGCGUAGAUAUCAAGAGGAACACCUGCGGCGAAGGCGGGUUGCUGGGCCGACACUGACGCUGAUGCGCGAAAAGCUAGGGGAGCGAACGGG
rnacentral:rRNA from 1 species